GGCUGUCCCUUUUGACAGCCAUGGCAAAGUCUAGCCAUGUCCAUGUGUUGUUGUGGUACUCCAGACAGGGCAGCACCAGGUUAAGGUCACCCCAGUCCACACUGUUCUUCUCACCCUGUAAGAGGAGGGGGAGGGGAAAGAAAAAAAGAGGGGUGGGGAAUACAUCAGCUGCCAUUUUGAGUCCCAGCCAGCCACUUGAGUGCCAAGUCCUACAAUAGUAACCUACAGAUACUGAUUUCCCCUUACCUCAGCCUCGUAAUGAUGCUGACUCUUGAGGGGAGCAGAGGGAACAGCAGAUUUAUCACCCACAGCUCAGCAUCACAAACAACCUAGCUGUCUCCCUGUAUAGAAUCUCUGAUCUUAUCUGGUUCCCUUCCCACCCUGUUCUACAAAGUGCUUGAGAGGUGCAGACCUUGUAGCUGACACACAGUGGAACCUGUGGAAUCUUUAUGUAGAUGAAGGAGUUGUUCAUGGCAGCUCGCUCUUUCAUCUUGUCAAUGUCAUCCACAGGGUGCUAAGAAAGGCAGGCAAGGAGUGUGAGCCCUGAAUCCAUCAGAAGAAACUCAGGACCCCAAACAUCUCCCUCUUCUUUUAUCCCUAGAAUGGACUUAGAGGAAACCGAAGAAAUCCCAAGCCACACCAAACAGGACCUCAAGACUCUCCCAUUUUUCUAUCAUCAGGGGCAUGUUUGGUACCUCUGGCGAUUUGCGAAAUGACCUUCUGACCCCAGAACUCCGAGUCAAACCCUGUGCCACACCCUUCCCAGGGCCCAGUGGUACUGCAUCAUCUGUUGCAAUCAGCUGCCGAGGCUUCACCACUGGUAUUCCUAUGAAAAAGCAAGUGUACCAGCUGUCAUCCAUCCUCGUUCUGAAGUCUCAGCUGUCUUUGGGGUUGCUACCCUAUUCUUCUGGGGCUCCACCAUAAAAGUUCUCACCAGUAGUCACCAGUUUGGACUUAUCCUCUUCAUCACCAACUUCAUCAUCUUCCACACUUCGGCCAGGAAAGAAAAAGCCCAUCAUUCUGUGGAAGAACUGGUGUGUCAGCUGGAUGGUGAGAGGCACCACAUUUACCUAAAAAGGAAAAAGAUUCAAGAAGCAAUUAAGCUCAGAUACCAUCAUCAGUUUACCUACUCCUAAUAUCGUGUAACACACAGGUGGCUUUUGAAUGUCCCUUGUUCCCAGGUCCCUAAGGGACUGCUUACUAACCUCAAAAUGCUCCUUAACAGAGAUACCCCCAACAGGGGGCCGAACUUUGCUGAAGAGGCGGAGAGCUAGCUGUCGCCCAGACUGGCAGGAGCUCUGGGGCCGCAGUACUACCUGUAGGAUAGAGAGUAAAGAAGAGCCCAACCCAAUGUCCUUCCUGCCAUAAAGCAACCCACAAAUCCUCUGCAGAAUGAGAGGAGAAGCAAUGGUACUGCUAAGCUGGGCAAGCUUUCACCCUCUCAGAUCACCACAUUGUUUUCCAUAGUGGAUUUAUACUGAAGGGCCGUUAUAAAUGCCCCGUGCUAAAAACAUGCAAAUGGACUAGGAAAGGGGAAAAAAGACUUGCCUUAUAGACAGCAUUGGGGAGGAGGUUGUUCAUGGUAAACCAGCCCAACUCCAGAAGAUGUUCUGCUGUGUCAUCAGACUUAUUCACCUAUAAAGACAGAUUUUGCCCCAUCUACUAUAAUAAACCUUUCUCAGAAGUCUA
ensembl:lncRNA SPAG5-AS1 SPAG5 antisense RNA 1